rnacentral:rRNA from 1 species
GUGAGGAAUAUUGCGCAAUGGGGGAAACCCUGACGCAGCGAUGCCGCGUGGGUGAAGAAGGCCUUCGGGUCGUAAAGCCCUGUCAAGUGGGAAGAAUAGCGUGGAGACGAAUAAUCUCCGCGUAUGACGGUACCACUGAAGGAAGCACCGGCUAACUCCGUGCCAGCAGCCGCGGUAAGACGGAGGGUGCAAGCGUUAUUCGGAUUUAUUGGGCGUAAAGAGCGUGUAGGCGGCCGGUCAAGCCAGAUGUGAAAGCCCAGGGCUUAACCCUGGAAGUGCAUUUGGAACUGGUUGGCUUGAGUUCGGGAGAGGGAAGUGGAAUUCCGGGUGUAGAGGUGAAAUUCGUAGAUAUCCGGAGGAACACCGGUGGCGAAGGCGACUUCCUGGACCGAAACUGACGCUGAGACGCGAAAGCGUGGGGAGCAAACAGGAUUAGAUACCCUAGUAGUCC